GGAGCACAGGUGCUGCAUGGCUGUCGUCAGCUCGUGUCGUGAGAUGUUGGGUUAAGUCCCGCAACGAGCGCAACCCCCGUCCUUAGUUGCUACCAUUUAGUUGAGCACUCUAAGGAGACUGCCGGUGAUAAGCCGCGAGGAAGGUGGGGAUGACGUCAAGUCCUCAUGGCCCUUACGGGCUGGGCUACACACGUGCUACAAUGGCGGUGACAAUGGGACGCUAAGGGGCAACCCUUCGCAAAUCUCAAAAAGCCGUCUCAGUUCGGAUUGGGCUCUGCAACUCGAGCCCAUGAAGUUGGAAUCGCUAGUAAUCGUGGAUCAGCACGCCACGGUGAAUACGUUCCCGGGCCUUGUACACACCGCCCGUCACACCAUGGGAGUUGGUUUUACCUGAAGGUAGUGCGCUAACCCGCAAGGGAGGCAGCUAA
rnacentral:rRNA from 1 species